rnacentral:rRNA from 1 species
AAUGGGCGAAAGCCUGACGGAGCAACGCCGCGUGAGGGAUGAAGGCCUCUGGGCUGUAAACCUCUUUUAUCAAGGAAGAAGAUCUGACGGUACUUGAUGAAUAAGCCACGGCUAAUUCCGUGCCAGCAGCCGCGGUAAUACGGGAGUGGCAAGCGUUAUCCGGAAUUAUUGGGCGUAAAGCGUCCGCAGGCGGCCCUUCAAGUCUGCUGUUAAAAAGUGGAGCUUAACUCCAUCAUGGCAGUGGAAACUGUUGGGCUUGAGUGUGGUAGGGGCAGAGGGAAUUCCCGGUGUAGCGGUGAAAUGCGUAGAUACCGGGAAGAACACCAGUGGCGAAGGCGCUCUGCUGGGCCAUCACUGACGCUCAUGGACGAAAGCCAGGGGAGCGAAAGGGAUU